CCGCAUCAGUACCGUAGGGAAACCGUUAAGUGUGCCGCCUGGGAAGUACGGUCGCAAGGCUCCACCUUAAAGGAAUUGGCGGGGGAGCACCACAAGGGCUGAAGCCUGCGGUUCAAUUGGACUCAACGCCGGGAAACUUACCAGGGGAGACAGCAGAAUGACAGUCAGGUUGACGACCUUACUCGACGAGCUGAGAGGAGGUGCAUGGCCGUCGCCAGUUCGUGCUGUGAGGUAUCCUGUUAAGUCAGGCAACGAACGAGAUCCGCGCCUUUAUUUGCCAUCAAGAAGUCACGACUUCGUUGGGAACACUAAAGGGACCGCCGUCGAUAAGACGGAGGAAGGAGCGGGCAAAGGCAGGUCAGUAUGCCCCGAAACCCCUGGGCUACACGCGGGCUGCAAUGGUGCGAACAAUGGGCUGUAACUCCGAAAGGAGAAACCAAUCCCGAAAUCGCAUCUCAGUGGGGAUUGUCGACUGUAACUCGUUGACAUGAACGUGGAAUCCCUAGUAAUCGCGUGUCACCAUCG
rnacentral:rRNA from 1 species